rnacentral:rRNA from 1 species
CAAUAGCGUAUAUUAAAGUUGUUGCGGUUAAAAAGCUCGUAGUUGGAUUUCUGCCGAGGACGACCGGUCCGCCCUCUGGGUGAGUAUCUGGCUCGGCCUGGGCAUCUUCUUGGAGAACGUAGCUGCACUUGACUGUGUGGUGCGGUAUCCAGGACUUUUACUUUGAGGAAAUUAGAGUGUUUCAAGCAGGCUUACGCCUUGAAUACAUUAGCAUGGAAUAAUAAGAUAGGACCUCGGUUCUAUUUUGUUGGUUUCUAGAGCUGAGGUAAUGAUUAAUAGGGAUAGUUGGGGGCAUUCGUAUUUAACUGUCAGAGGUGGAAUUCUUGGAUUUGUUAAAGACGGACUACUGCGAAAGCAUUUGCCAAGGAUGUUUUCAUUGA